rnacentral:rRNA from 1 species
AUAAGCAUUNUAUACNGUGAAACUGCGAAAGGGCUCAUUAAAUCAUUUAUCGUUUAUUUGAUAGUUCCUUUACUACGUGGUAUAGCUGUGGUAAUUCUACAGCUAAUACAUGCUUAAAAUCUCNACCCUUUGGAAGAGAUGUAUUUAUUAAAUAAAAAAUCAAUGUCUUCGGACUCUUUGAUGAUUCAUAAUAACUUUUCGAAUCGCAUGGCCUUGUGCUGGCGAUGGUUCAUUCAAAUUUCUGCCCUAUCAACUUUCGAUGGUAGGAUAGUGGCCUACCAUGGUUUCAACGGGUAGGGGNANANAUANUUAUAUGUGUUAUUAUAAUCUUCGGNAAAAUAGCAAAUAUAAGUCGGCGACGAUUCAUUCGAAUUUCUGCCCCAUCAACUCUCGAUGGUAGGAUAGAGGCCUACCAUGGUCGCAACGGGUAACGGGGNANANGGAACCAUCCNCCAGGNUACUCCNACNGUUAUUUCNUCUNUGU